rnacentral:rRNA from 1 species
UACGAAGGGGGCUAGCGUUGCUCGGAAUCACUGGGCGUAAAGGGCGCGUAGGCGGCCAUUUAAGUCGGGGGUGAAAGCCUGUGGCUCAACCACAGAAUUGCCUUCGAUACUGGAUGGCUUGAGUUCGGUAGAGGUUGGUGGAACUGCGAGUGUAGAGGUGAAAUUCGUAGAUAUUCGCAAGAACACCGGUGGCGAAGGCGGCCAACUGGACCGACACUGACGCUGAGGCACGAAAGCGUGGGGAGCAAACAGG